CAGGAAUGGAACCCACAACCUUCCGCUGUACAGGAUGAUGCUCCAGCCAACUGAGCUCAUAGGCUGGUGAACAGAUUUGACCCUGAAGACGGUCUUCCCAUUGACAAGGAAGGAAAUUCCCAGGGAAAAUGUUCCAGAUGACCAGGACCAGCCCAGAGGCACACUGGAAGCUCGGUGCUGUGGAGGACACCGCCGUCCUGUUUACAAAUAUAACUGCACUUGUUUUUUAUCCUAUGUUACAUGACUGGACUUUUAGUUUUUACCUGUAAAAUAAAGAGAACCUGAUGUUUUCA